GCCAAUUUAGUUUAGUGGUAGAACAAAUCCCUCGUAAUGAUUAGGCGUAGGUCCGAUUCCUACAUUUGGCACCA
rnacentral:tRNA from 1 species